UUUUGCGGGCUGCUGGAAUAGAGGGCGUAGAGGUGGAGGUCGCGCGGCGAUGGGGGAAGGUGCGACGGCGGGCGGUGCGCGGCGGGGGCGGCCGGUGGCGGGGAGGCCGCGCGCGGCGGGGAGGCGGCACGCGGCGGUGGUGGGGACGCCGAAAGGUGGUGGCCCCUGUGAGCUGCGGCUGCGGCGUGGAAGGGGGUUGAGCAGAGAGAGGAGGAGGAAACGGGUGGCGAGAAGCAGUGGGCCGGUUGAGGCAGCUUUGCCCGUCCGCCGCGACCUCAAGCGGCCUUGCCCGGCCGCCCGCCAUUCUCCGCGCCGCCGCCGCGCUCCUUUUGACUGUCUAAGUCCGCGCCGUAGCUCCCUAGCUCGGCGACCACGCCGUCGAACGAUGCUACCGCCGCCGACCACGGGACGAGUAGGUCUCUUUCUCUCUGUGUCCCGCACUCCCUCUCUCCUCUCUCUCCUUCUUUCCUCUUCCUCUUCCCCGCGUCCCACUCCCUCCGCCCGUCCCGCCGCACGAGGACAACUCCGCCGUCCCGAGCGACGCCCGACCAAGGAGCCCUAGCUCGGAACCGAAAGAGCUCCGCACGCCAACGGCCGUUCCCAUCGUGUAGAGCGACCUCGUGUGCAACAAGGACCGGUCUCCGGAGUCUAGCUGGACGACCCGAGCCACGACGACUCGUUGCUCCCACCGCCCCCCAGUUUCCCUAGUAACUCCUGCGGUCGUUGUCGGAGAAGUUUGAUGCGCAUUAAGGACAUGGUAACCGAAAUAGUCAAUAAACAUCUCUAAGUGGGAGAAACACAGCUCCUUUCUCGGCCUUCCUCUCAUGUACCUGCUCCCCUUCUUACCGAUCCGUCUAACGGGUGUUGAGACGUGUCCACGUCGGUUUGUUUCGGAUCGACCUGUAGUAAACAGUUCCAAACGUGUGUUGAUGUGUAACUUUUAAGAUCGACCCAACUAGGUCUAGAACCACAAUGACGGAUAGUAGGUAUCGUAGAGGAGAAAAAUGGUGGUCGGUGGUGAUGGUGUUACCAUGUCUAGAGUGGACGUUGAGGUACAGUGAUGAUAGUAUGAACAACAAACAAACCAGGUAGAAGUCAAGGAGUGUGUUUAGUCCAACAGGGUGGCCGGAUGUCUUGAACCUAUAAACGAUGCUGUCAGACGGUACACCACGUAAUGAACCAACUACGGGUAGCUCUCAAGUUCUGAUUAGGUGUGAUUCGUAAGAACUAAGGAAUAAUCAACGUAAUAAAAGUCUAGGUAAUGGAAGAACGUAUAGCAGUAGAUACGUCGUGUACGGUUGUUCGAGACAGCUGCACCACGCAUAUAUCAUUAGAUUGUUCCGUCGUGGGUAAUAUUUACUAAAAGAUACGUAGAGCUAAAGUAGGGUAUAGUUUCUAAAAAAUAGAGCUAAAAGAAUACAUAUCGUGUACGUAUAGUCUCUUCAGUGUAGGCGAAUUAAUAGUACAUAGUGUUUCAAUCCGUCAUCAUCUUAUUCUAGUAUGUUGACGGACAAUAAAAUCUAUAAUACUACAUAUCAUUCCACGGCCAAACGUCCUUUAUUUCGUGUUAACACUGUGCUUUUCAAACUUGUAUUGGUUGCACCAAAAUAGAACGUAAGUACUCUGAGCGGAAAUUUCACAAUAGAAAAGUGUGUCUCUCUGUAUGCUCCGGUACUCCCGUAGGAUAUCUGUUUUUCCUGUAAGCUCCUUAAUUUUUUAACUUAGCAGAGGUGUCUUGUUUGACGUUCGAAACUUUAGUAACUUCACAACCGUUAAGGCAUUAGAGAAUUGUAUCCGACGGCGGUAGUACGAAGAGUCCGGGCCUCCGAGACAAGUAUUAGUGGAGAGCGGUAUAGGCCCCUCCUAAUACCAGAUCCGUCUCGCCACGUACUACGACAUCACACCGAUAACAGUUACUGUGACAGCACUACAACAGGUGUAACAGGGCCACCAAGCUUUCGCUGCGUUACUGUAGUACAAAGAAGAGGAGUCGCUCAAAUAAUAAAAAGUAUCUGGAGUACCUCGUCUCAUGGCUCCCGACUCCUCUGUUCACGACCUCUCCCACCGUACGUAGUCCUACUCUCCCUUCUUUCACGACCUCCUACAUUUGUAGACCUCCUUGUACAUAUCUCACCAAGAAACACCUUUUUUUUACAUAUCUCACCAACCACAUAUGAAGGAAAAACACUAUUAUUAUUUACUUCACGUAAGACCACGAUACCAACACUGACUUCUACAAUCGCCGUCUUCAUUAACGAUG
rnacentral:rRNA from 1 species